rnacentral:rRNA from 1 species
UACAGAGGUGCCAAGCGUUAGGCGGAAUCACUGGGCUUAAAGCGCGUGUAGGUGGGUCGUUAAGUGUCCGCGUGAAAUCCCACGGCUCAACCGUGGAACUGCCGGGCGUACUGGCGAUCUUGAGGCAUUCAGGGGCGAGCGGAACAAGUGGUGGAGCGGUGAAAUGCGUAGAUAUCACUUGGAACGCCAAUGGUGAAAACAGCUCGCUGGGAAUGAUCUGACACUGAGACGCGAAAGCCAGGGGAGCGAACGGG